CCAAGUUCAAUUUUAACGAAGCUCUUUUAGUUCCAAGAAACAGACACAGCCAGACCAGUCUGAAAAUUUUUAUUUUCUGAAAAAUGUAACUUGUAAGAACACACGUAGAGCAAAAGGGAGAAACUUGGAAAUUUUUACGCAGAAAACACCUAAGUAAAACCAUUCUUGAAAGGACACAUGAACAAAUUGAACCAGUCAGAGGGGAAAGAUCAGGAUGAUGAAGUGACUCAGAAAUCAGAUUCCAUUAUGACAUUAGUCUCUGGUCACAAUUAUCUGAAGCCUUGCAGGAUGCACCAUUCCACUUCAUCCUGUCUUCAUCACAAGAAGAAAGUCAGUGGUUCCUCUGCCUUGUUCCUCCUUCCAGUGGAUUGCAUAUCCAGAUAAUGUUGAACUUGGGAGCCUUCAUGCUUUGAUCAGUAAAAGCUUGAAUGAAUGGAAGUUGACAUAAGCUAAAGGAAUCAUCUUACACCAUGACAAAAUGGAGUAAGGCUGGAUCCCCAAAUCUCCAAUGUAACAAGCCUGGAACACUUAUGUGUAGAAUGCUCAGACUAUUAGUUGAGAGAAAAAUAAAAUUCCAUUUUGUUCA
rnacentral:lncRNA from 1 species